rnacentral:lncRNA from 1 species
UUUUCUCUCUUUCUCUCUCUAUAUUAUCGAGCGUAUUCUUGUGAGUAUACUUUGAGUGUUGCUAUACGGUGCGAGUUUCUGUCAACACUAUACCAAAAUUCAGUCAGAAGUACGGUUAUUUUGAGGUAAGGGAUGUUAUUUCUUUCGCAAAUGGUAUUAUUUUCUUCAAUAUCAUUAUGCCAAAAUAUUGGUUGAACUUUUUAUCAAAUUUGGAACUUGUUGUGUCGAGGUUACUAUUCACGUAUACGGCACUAUUCACGAAUACAGCACUAUUCACCGAAAAAUAAAAAUUCUCCUUUUUAUCUAAAAUGUCUAUUAUGGUUACUAGCUUUGAUUGUAUCCAUGUUUUGAUCUUCAUUCUUGAAGUUUGGCUCAUAAUUGUUUAUUAUGGAGUAUUUUUGAAUUUGGACAAACUAAAGUACGAAUCCUUAAUCCUUAAUCCUUAAUCCUUAAUCCUUGUCAUUUUGUUUCACUGGAUUCGUUUCUUUAAAAAAAUAUUUUUCAUCAUCCUCAGUUCUAAAUGAUGGUACUACUGAAUAUCUUUGGCCUGUAGUGCAAAGAUGAAUGAUUAACUGAUGAAUAUCUUUGGCCUGUAGUGCAAAGAUGAACAGGUGUUGAGAUGAACAUGAUCGACUGGUGAUUUAAAUGAUUAUCUUUGGCCUGUAGUGCAAAGAUGAAUGAUUAACUGAUGAAUAUCUUUGGCCUGUAGUGCAAAGAUGAACAGGUGUUGAGAUGAACAUGAUCGACUGGUGAUUUAAAUGAUUAUCUUUGGCCUGUAGUGCAAAGAUGAAUAUUGAUUGUUGUUAUAGGGAUAAAAUAUUGAUUAUGAACUUUUAAAUUUUAGAAGAUAGUAGAAUUCAUUCUCUACGCGACUCUUCUAAUGGAUUGUUGUUUCCGCUGCAUUUGUUGAUCUAAAACUUGUUGUCUAUUUUAUUUUAUCAGAUUUUUCCCUGUUGAAGACUGACGAUAAUUUGUUGUAUAUUAUCUUAGUCAUAAUAUUCUUUACUGGGCUAGUUGAGCUCACCCUUUCCUUUUUGUUCCAUUUUUCUUCUCAGGAGGUGAGAACAUAGCAGGAUCGAGUCGGGGUAUGGAGUGAUGGUUCUAGGAAGAUGUUUUAGCAGUCCUCACUAUUUCUAUAAAAUAGUGUUUGAAUAAU